rnacentral:rRNA from 1 species
UACGGGGGGAGCAAGCGUUGUUCGGAUUUACUGGGCGUAAAGGGCGCGUAGGCGGUCAGUGCAAGUCAGUUGUGAAAUCUCCGAGCUUAACUCGGAAAGGUCAACUGAUACUGCUCGACUAGAGUGCGGAAGGGGCAACUGGAAUUCUUGGUGUAGCGGUGAAAUGCGUAGAUAUCAGGAGGAACACCUGUGGCGAAAGCGGCUCACUGGACCAUAACUGACGCUGAUGCACGAAAGCUAGGGGAGCAAACAGG